rnacentral:rRNA from 2 species
AAGUCGUAACAAGGUCUCCGUAGGUGAACCUGCGGAGGGAUCAUUACCUAAAAGCAUAGCGGUCGUCACCACUAUGCGUGAGGCGGAGGUCCCCUGCGAGCCGCGUGAGCUCAAGGUGGGCCUCCGCUCUCAUCCAACCCUUGCAUCCAAACCGUACUGCCUCGGGGGCGCCCGUCCUGGGACGCCGCGCGCCCCCGACGGUCUUAUCGCAACCCGUCGUUAACGAAUCGUCCGAGUGAAAUAAAGAAAUUGAACAAAACUUUCAACAACGGAUCUCUUGGUUCUGGCAUCGAUGAAGAACGCAGCAAAAUGCGAUAAGUAAUGUGAAUUGCAGAAUUCAGUGAAUCAUCGAAUCUUUGAACGCACAUUGCGCCCCUUGGCAUUCCGAGGGGCAUGCCCGUUCGAGCGUCAUUUGACCACUCAAGCCCCGCUUGGUAUUGGGCGCCGCGUCCGCCGCGCGCCUCAAAGUCCCCCGGCCCCGUGGCCCGGCCCUGAGCGUUAUGGCACUUCGGUUCCGCUCCAGGCGUCCGGGCGACGGCCGGCCGUUAAGCCUUCCACACAGGUUGACCUCGGAUCGGGUAGGGAUACCCGCUGAACUUAA